rnacentral:rRNA from 1 species
UACGUAGGGCGCAAGCGUUAUCCGGAAUUAUUGGGCGUAAAGAGCUCGUAGGCGGUUUGUCGCGUCUGCCGUGAAAGUCCGGGGCUCAACUCCGGAUCUGCGGUGGGUACGGGCAGACUAGAGUGCAGUAGGGGAGACUGGAGUUCCUGGUGUAGCGGUGAAAUGCGCAGAUAUCAGGAGGAACACCGAUGGCGAAGGCAGGUCUCUGGGCUGUAACUGACGCUGAGGAGCGAAAGCAUGGGGAGCGAACAGG